UCUUUAUUUUAAUUAGAUCCCAUUUGUCAAUUUUAACUUCUGUUGCCAUUGCUUUUGGUGUUUUAGUCAUGAAGUCUUUGUCCAUACCUAUGUCCUGAAUGGUAUUGCCAAGGUUUCCUUCUAGGGUUUUUACGGUUUUAGGUCUUACAUUUAAGUCUUUAAUCCAUCUUGCCCCAUUGCUUGUUUUUGUUGGGUUUAUCAAAGAUCAGAUGGUGUAGAUGUGUGGUGUUAUUUCUGAGGCCUCUGUUCUGUUCCAUUGGUCUUUAUAUCUGUUUUGGUACCAGUAACAUGCUGUUUUGGUUACUGUAGACUUGUAGUAUAUUUUGAAGUCAGGUAGCGUGAUGCCUCCAGUUUUGUUCUUUUUGCUUAGGAUUGUCUUGGCUAUGCAGGCUCUUUAUUGGUUCCAUAUAAAAUGUAAAGUAGUUUUCUCCAAUUCUGUGAAGAAAGUCACUGGUAGCUUGAUGGGGAUAGCAUUGAAUCUAUAAAUUACUUUGGGCAGUAUGGCCAUUUUUAUGAUAUUGAUUCUUCCUAUCUGUGAGCGUGGAAUGUUUUUCCAUUUGUUUGUGUCCUCUCUUAUUUCCUUGAGCAGUGGUUUGUAGUUCUCCUUGAAGAGGUCUUUCACAUCCCUUGUAAGUUGUAUUCCUAUUUAUUUUAUGCUAUUUGUAGCAAUUGUGAAUGGUAGCUCACUCAUGAUUUGGCUCUCUGUUUGUCUGUUACUGGUAUAUAGGAAUGCUUGUGAUUUCUGCACAUCAAUUUUGUAUCCUGAGGCUGCUGAAGCUGCUUAUCAGCUUAGGGAGAUUUGGGGCUGAAACGAUGGGGUUUUCUAAAUAUACAACCAUGUCAUCUGCAAACAGAGACAAUUUGACUUCCUCUUUUCCUAAUUGAACAUUCUUUAUUUCUUUCUCUCGCCUUAUUGCCCUCGCCAGAACCCCCAAUACUAUGGGAGUGGUGAGCAAGGGCAUCCAUGUCUUGUGCCGAUUUUCCAAGGGAAUGCUUCCAGUUUUGCCCAUUCAGUAUGAUAUUGGCUGUGAGUAUGUCAUAAAUUGCUUAUUAUUUUGAGAUAGGUCUCAUCAAUACCUAGUUUAUUUAAUUAAGAGUUUUUAUCAUGAAGGGGUGUUGAAUUUAGUCAAAGGCCUUUUCUGCAUCUAUUGAGAUAAUCACAUGGUUUUUUCAUUGGUUCUGUUUAUGUGAUGGAUUACAUUUAUUGAUUUGCAUGGG
rnacentral:lncRNA from 1 species